AGAUAAGCCUGCAAGUCUAAGUUUAAGCACCUAAACGGCGAAACUGCGAAUGGCUCAUUAAAUCAGUUAUCGUAUAUUUGAUAGUACCUACUACAUGGAUAACCGUGGUAAUUCUAGAGCUAAUACAUGCUUAAAAUCCCGACUUCGGAAGGGAUGUAUUUAUUAGAUUAAAAACCAAUGCCCUUCGGGGCUCACUGGUGAUUCAUAAUAACUUCUCGAAUCGCAUGGCCUUGUGCCGGCGAUGGUUCAUUCAAAUUUCUGCCCUAUCAACUUUCGACGGCUGGGUCUUGGCCAGCCGUGGUUACAACGGGUAACGGAGGGUUAGGGCUUGACCCCGGAGAAGGAGCCUGAGAAACGGCUACUACAUCCAAGGAAGGCAGCAGGCGCGCAAAUUACCCAAUCCCGACACGGGGAGGUAGUGACAAUAAAUACUGAUACAGGGCUCUUUUGGGUCUUGUAAUUGGAAUGAGUACAAUUUAAAUCCCUUAACGAGGAACAAUUGGAGGGCAAGUCUGGUGCCAGCAGCCGCGGUAAUUCCAGCUCCAAUAGCGUAUAUUAAAGUUGUUGCAGUUAAAAAGCUCGUAGUUGAACCUUGGGCCUGGCUGGCCGGUCUGCCUCACCGCAUGCACUGGUCCGGCCGGGCCUUUCCCUCUGGGGAUCCGCAUGCCCUUCACUGGGUGUGUCGGGGAACCAGGACUUUUACUGUGAAAAAAUUAGAGUGUUCAAAGCAGGCCUAUGCUCGAAUACAUUAGCAUGGAAUAAUAGAAUAGGACGUUGCGGUUCUAUUUUGUUGGUUUCUAGGACCGCCGUAAUGAUUAAUAGGGACAGUCGGGGGCGUCAGUAUUCAAUCGUCAGAGGUGAAAUUCUUGGAUCGAUUGAAGACUAACUACUGCGAAAGCAUUCGCCAAGGAUGUUUUCAUUAAUCAGGAACGAAAGUUAGGGGAUCGAAAACGAUCAGAUACCGUUGUAGUCUUAACCAUAAACUAUGCCGACUAGGGAUCGGGCGAUGUUAUUUCUUGACUCGCUCGGCACCUUACACGAAAGUAAAGUUUUUGGGUUCUGGGGGGAAGUAUGGUCGCAAGGCUGAACUAGA
rnacentral:rRNA from 1 species